AAUCUGGUUGAUCCUGCCAGAGGCGACCGCUUUUGGAGUUCGAUUAAGCCAUGCGAGUAGAAUGAAUUAGAUUCAUUGCAAACUGCUCAGUAACACGUGGAUAACCUGCCCUAUGCUCUGGGAUAACCUCGGGAAACUGAGAAGAAUACCGGAUAGACCACAACGCCUGGAACGGUGUGUGGUUGAAAGGUCACGGCAUAGGAUGGGUCUGCGGCGUAUCAGGUCGUAGGGGGUGUAAUGGACCUCCUAGCCAUCGACGCGUACGGGUUGUGGGAGCAAUAGCCCGGAGAUGGAUUCUGAGACACGAAUCCAGACCCUACGGGGUGCAGCAGGCGCGAAAACUUCACACUGCAGGAAACUGUGAUGAGGGAACUCCAAGUGACUGCACAUUGUGUAGCCUUUUCUUUACUAUUAAUCGGUAUUGGAAUAAGGGCUGGGAAAGACCGGUGCCAGCCGCCGCGGUAAUACCGGCAGCUCGAGUGGUCGUCGCUUUUAUUGGGCCUAAAACGUCCGUAGCCUGUUUGGUAAAUCUGUGGGUAAAUCAACCAGCUUAACUGGUUGAAUUCUGCAGAGACUGCCAGACUAGGGACCGGGAGAGGUGUGGGGUACUCUAGGGGUAGGGGUAAAAUCCUGUCAUCCUUAGAGGACCACCAGUUGCGAAGGCGCCACACUGGAACGGAUCCGACGGUCAGGGACGAAGCCUAGGGGCACGAACCGGAUUAGAUACCCGGGUAGUCCUAGGUGUAAACGCUGUGAACUUGGUGUCGGGAGUCCGCAAUGGGCCCCCGGUGCCGGAGUGAAGAUGUUAAGUUCACUGCCUGGGGAGUACGGUCGCAAGGCUGAAACUUAAAGGAAUUGGCGGGGGAGCACUGCAACGGGAGGAGCGUGCGGUUUAAUUGGAUUCAACGCCGGAAAACUCACCAGGGCCGACUGUUAUAUGAAGACCAGCGUAAUGAGCUUGUCGGAUUUUCAGAGAGGUGGUGCAUGGCCGUCGUCAGUUCGUACUGUAAAGCGUUCUGUUAAGUCAGAUAACGAACGAGACCCUCAUCUCUAUUUGCUACCCGUCUCUCCGGAGGCGGCGCACUAUAGGGAGACCGCUGGUGUUAAACCAGAGGAAGGCGAGGGCAACGACAGGUCAGUAUGCCCCGAAUGUCCUGGGCUACACGCGCGCUACAAAGGACGGGACAAUGGGAAGCCAGGCCGAGAGGCCGAGCUACCCCGAAACCCGUUCAUAGUUCGGAUCGUGGGCUGUAACUCGCCCACGUGAAGCUGGAUUCCGUAGUAAUCGUGUUUCAAUAUAGCACGGUGAAUAUGCCCCUGCUCCUUGCACACACCGCCCGUCAAACCAUCUUAGUUGGGGGUGGGUGAGGCUGCGCUUACUUCGGUAUGGCGUAUUCGAGCCUGCCUUCGACAAGGAGGGUUAAGUCGUAACAAGGUAUCUGUAGGGGAACCUGCAGAUGGAUCACCUCCU
rnacentral:rRNA from 1 species